ensembl:snRNA U1 U1 spliceosomal RNA
AUACUUAUCUGGCAGGGAAGAUACCUUAAUCACGAAGGUGGUUUUCCCAGGGCAAGGCUUAUCCUUUGCACCCCAGAUGUGCUGACCCUUGAAAUUUCCCCAAAUAUGGGAAACUUGACUGCAUAAUUUGUGGUAGUGGAAUCUGUGUUUGCACUCUUUCCUG